rnacentral:lncRNA from 1 species
GGGGGGUUUACUGUGGCUUUUGGAAUGAAACCGAGAGAAGAAAGGGAGGGGUUCUCAGGCGACAGAGAGGAAAAAAAAAAAAGAAGAAGAGGAGAGGAAAGGAAGAAAGGAAGAGGAAGAAGAAGAAGAAAAAGAAAGGGAAAGGAAUCUCGGUUGCACUUCCAGCUGAAGGGAAAAACAUAGAUCUCCUUCCCCUCUACGCAAGGACCUCGAUUUUCAAAAAGAAAAAGGUAAAUAUAUCCAUCCCUAUCUAGUCUUUUGAUGACAUUAGGCUAUACAAAGGGUGAAUAUAGUCUAGAGGGGUCGGAUAAGGGUUGUAGAGGCGGUUAAAAGAAGAAGAAUCGGAUUUUGACAA